UACGGAGGGUGCGAGCGUUGUCCGGAAUCACUGGGCUUAAAGGGCGCGUAGGCGGCCGAGUAGGUCGCGGGUGAAAUCCCCCAGCUUAACUGGGGAACUGCCCGCGAUACCACUGCGGCUAGAGUAAGGCAGGGGCAUUUGGAACUGUCGGUGGAGCGGUGAAAUGCGUUGAGAUCGACAGGAACGCCGAUGGCGAAAGCAGAAUGCUGGUCCUUUUCUGACGCUGAGGCGCGAAAGCCAGGGGAGCAAACGGG
rnacentral:rRNA from 1 species